UACAGAGGGGGCAAGCGUUGUUCGGAAUUACUGGGCGUAAAGGGCUCGUAGGUGGCCAACUAAGUCACACGUGAAAUCCCUCGGCUUAACCGGGGAACUGCGUGUGAUACUGGAUGGCUUGAGUUUGGGAGAGGGAUGCGGAAUUCCAGGUGUAGCGGUGAAAUGCGUAGAUAUCUGGAGGAACACCGGUGGCGAAGGCGGCAUCCUGGACCAACACUGACGCUGAGGAGCGAAAGCCAGGGGAGCAAACGGG
rnacentral:rRNA from 1 species